UGCACACACAUUCAUCCCUAAACAUCUAAGAUUAGAUACAACAUAAAUUUAUAAUUGAUUAGAAACAAAUCAAAUGACAUUAUACUUUCAAUGCAGAAACUGCUCUGACGUUGCUGAAACGGGAUCCAUCACUUGAUGAUAUGACGGACGAACAGGGCAGGACCUGUCUUCAUCUCCUUGCUGAGAUGCCUAGUGCUUUCAAGAGUGGACGUGCAAUGCUCAAAUAUUCCAUUAGGAACCUGAUAUACUGUUGUAUGUUUGAUGCAACAUUUUCUUUUUCAUUCAUUUAUUUUAUUUGAUAAGCAUUAAUAAGCUAAACCCAGCUCGAGCAUCUGCUCUCAAGGAAAGCUGUUUAACCGAUUAAUUAAACACGAUUUUCGGGUUUUAAUUGUUUUUCGGGAGCCAUGUAAAAUUGUAUUGCUUUAAAUCCUACAAGGUUUGAUUAGACUCAAGUUGAGAGUUUUUUGCAGGCCUUUCCGCAUCAAAUGGUGAUGACGACCAGAGCAAGAGUAAAAAAGGUACUGAAAAUUGAAACUAUUUUGCUAUCUUGGACAGGGCUAAAUCAUCGAGUAAUUUAACUAUUAUAUUGAUAAUAAUAUUGCGCUGACCGAUGCUGCCUGGGUCUUGUGGUUUUAAACACAAGCAACCACGGUUUAAAGCUUUAGAAACAAUAACAAUACUGCUCAUGCAACAAAAUCCUCCUUAGUAAGUGUCAAAAGUAAUUCGUGGAAGGACAAAAUUUCCUGUUGUCAACAAUAACGAUGCUAAAUAGUUUUAUUUUAGAAGCAUGUUAGAUUAUAUUUGAAUAAUUUCCUAAUAAUUAUAGGAUUGACUUGAGAUUCAAUCUAAGAUCCUUCAUGUCUAGAGAUAUCCUCCCUAUUUAGAGAUUAAAUAUGAUUCUAUUUCUUAUUUCGGUAUAGGUUUCAAUUGUUUCAUAUUUUAUCUCGGUAUCAGAGCCCCCUCCUAUGACCUGGGUUUUUUCCAGCUUAAGCAAGCUUUAAGUGUUUCUUUUUUAUUUAUUUCAUCAAUUGUCUACUCGCUGUCACUCUUUGGUAUCCCAAAUUUCAAUUUUUUCUGUCUUAUUCUCUCUCAUAUGAAAUUCUCAAGACAUCUAUAGACACUCCCACUGCACACACAUUCAUCCCACUGCACACACAUUCAUCCCUAAACAUCUAAGAUUAGAUGCAACAUAAAUUUAUAAUUGAUUAAAAACAAAUCAAAUGACAUUAUACUUUCAAUGCAGAAACUGAAGCUCUGACGUUGCUCGAACGGGAUCCAUCACUUGAUAUGACGGAAGAACAGGGCAGGACCUGUCUUCAUCUCCUUGCUGAGAUGCCUAGUGCUUUCAAGAGUGGAUAUGCAAUGC
rnacentral:lncRNA from 1 species